GGCCACGUGGCGGAGUGGUGACGUGGCGGACUGCAAAUCCGUAUACCCCGGUUCGAUUCCGGGCGUGGCCUCCA
rnacentral:tRNA from 1 species